UGGUUGCCUUGAAUAUAGGUCAAUGAUACAGUUGGAACACUGGCUGGAGGUAGAUACUGCAAUAAUGAUGUUGGGCCUGGGAGGCUUUUUGGGACUAUUCUGAGAAAAAGUUGCUUGGAACAACAAAGGCAGAAUGCUCUGUUACAAACGAAUGGUCUCCCGAUGGAUGCUACUUCAUGACUGCAACAACAGUAUACAGUGAUUAACUUUAUUUAAGCAUUGAUGCAUUGACUUUAAAACCCUCCCACAACGUAUUGUAGCAGUAAGGGCCUCCAAAAGCCCUCCUACAUUUUAUUUUUUUUACACACUCACACCAAUUCAUGGAAGCGUUCAGAACUUAAGCAAAUCAGUUCAAUCAGCUCAAAUUAACAGAUAUUAAGGGGUAAAAACAUACUUCUAUCAAGCUUAAGAAGAAAUUCAAUCAAUUAAAAAACUGAAAAUUUGAGCUUAGUAGCUGUAUGGAUGUGAAAAGGUUUGUUCCUUUGUGGGGCCUGAUUCAGUCCUCCUCUUUGGAUAAUCUCUCAUCAUGCACCUUUAUCUGGCAUGUAGAGCCAUAUCAGCUUUAUUCUUUUCUUCAAUAAAAGUUAUGUUGCCAUUAGAUUGCCAUUAAAAAAACUAAAAAAUGUUGGGUAAAAGUGCAGUUGCUUGUACCCAUAUAUAUGUUUUGUGUGCUCUGGUAAGUUGGUCUUGCCCCUAUUUGCAAGUCUACAGGUUACAUUUUGGAUUUUAGUAAACACAACAUUGUCUUAAUCUUUACCAGUGACAUUUAGCAAAGCACUGGUCUUAAUCUUCUAGCUUGAGGAUAUUUGUAUCUUAUUCUGUGGAUAUUUAAUUAUUACUGUUUUCUUAUU